rnacentral:rRNA from 1 species
UACGUAGGGGGCGAGCGUUGUCCGGAUUUAUUGGGCGUAAAGAGCGUGUAGGCGGCCAGGUAGGUCUGCUGUGAAAACUCGAGGCUCAACCUCGAGACGUCGGCGGAAACCAUCUGGCUAGAGUCCGGAAGAGGAGAGUGGAAUUCCGUGGUGUAGCGGUGAAAUGCGCAGAUAUCAGGAAGAACACCCGUGGCGAAGGCGGCUCUCUGGGACGGUACUGACGCUGAGACGCGAAAGCGUGGGGAGCGAACAGG